CCUCUCUAGUCUUACACGUGGCGCUUACAGCUUUCUUUCGUGUUUUAUCUGUCACUGGCAGGAGGGGGAGUGUCGCCUGUCAAGCUCUAAGUAAAAGGUCCUGUGGAGUGAGAUGCUGUUGGGUCCAGAUUUAACAUCACAAGCUGCUGCUGCCCUCUUGCUACCAGCCUGCAGGUGAGGCCCACUCUGAUGAUGGAAGAGAGGAGGCAGAAGGAAUCUGGCCCUUGAUAAUGUGGUCAAGAAGCUGGGUUCACCCUCCCUGGAACCUGCCCUGCUCCUGAAUUUCCUUUUCUGAAAAAACACACCAUCCUCCUUGCCCUUAACCAGACCUUGACCUCUGACACUUCCAGGAAAGGAAGACAGAGCCCAAACGCAGGAUGUACAAAACGUGAAUUCUUACUUUUCUCAAAGUCUGAGGGCCCAGUUUCCAGUAAUCAAAGGGAUUUUACAAAAGCAACUCUGACUAUAAGCAAUCUUCACCUUACUAGCUGACUUCACACCUGGCUAGCUGCCUGGUAAAAUGUGGCUCCAUCCUUACUGGAGAUCGAAGUGUUGAUGCACUUACUCAGUUUUCCCAAAAAGUCGCUGUGAAAUCCUCAGCACUCAGGAAAAAUGGCUAGGAUGAGCCCGGGGAGAGCGGAAAGUCUGAGUGGCAGACGCUGCAGGCUGCCUCCUAUGACUAGCCUCUCCUUCC